rnacentral:rRNA from 1 species
GACAUGCAAGUCGAACGCGAAAGGCCCCUUCGGGGGCCGAGUAGAGUGGCGUCCGGGUGAGUAACAAGUANGUAAUCUACCUCUGGGUGGGGAAUAACGACCGGAAACGGUCGCUAAUACCGCAUAAUGCAUCGGCACCACAUGGUGACAGUUGUUAAAGCGGGGGAUCGCAAGACCUCGCGCCUANAGAGGANCCUGCGGCGGAUUANCUAGUUGGCAGGGUAACGGCCUACCAAGGCAACGAUCCGUAUCCGGCCUGAGAGGGCGGUCGGCCACACUGGCACUGACACACNGGCCAGACUCCUACGGGAGGCAGCAGUCGGGAAUUUUGGGCAAUGGGCGAAAGCCUGACCCAGCAACGCCGCGUGAAGGAUGAAGCUUUUCGGAGUGUAAACUUCAUAAGAAUGGGACGAAUAAGGAAGGGCUAAUACCCCUUUUGAUGACGGUACCAUUUGUAAGCUCCGGCUAACUCCGUGCCANCAGCCGCGGUAAUACGGGGGGAGCAAGCGUUGUUCGGAUUUACUGGGCGUAAAGGGCGCGUAGGCGGCGCAACAAGUCACUUUGUGAAAUCUCCGGGCUUAACUCGGAGCUGCCAAGUGAUACUGUCGUGCUAGAGUGCGGAAGGGGCUACUGGAAUUCUCGGUGUA